AAGAAAAGGACUUGUCAAGAAUACAGGAAGCAGCAGCGCGAGAUGCCCGUGCCUCUGCUAGACAUUGUCAUGAACCAACUUCUCAAGGAACAUGUCGGGAACCUGCCCGAGCUGUGCAUGGGCUACCUUGUGAAGAGAACCCCGAUGAUGACCUAUAUGAUGUACGACAGCAUGGCCAGGAAACUGCAUCACAACCAUGUCCUAGUGGUGCAACUGGUACAGCUGCUUCCUCACUAGACCAGGAGGCUGCAGAAGCCCUUGUUCAGCUUUCACAGUUCAUCCAGAAUGUACCAGACAUGUGUACACAAGACAAGAGCAUCCAGGUCGAUGUGGACUCCUUUAUGGGGAAGAAGUUCAGGCUUGUAGAUUUACUCACAUCAGACAACAUUGUUCUUGCUUUUACUGGUGUAUCAAUGAAUCUGCUGAUAGCAGUUAGUAAUGAAGUAGGCAGAAUUGAAGAGGCAGUCACUGAAAUGUCAACUCUUGAACGCGUUAUUCUCGUUCUUGUACGUUUGAAAACGUGUUUACCCUUUGUGUGUUUGGCCCCCCUAUUUUGUGUGAGCAGAACAACUGUCUCUCGCCACUUUUACAGCACACUUCAUAACCUUGCAGCGGUUCUGGAAUCUGCAAUUCCAUGGCCAGAUAAACAGGAAAUUGCAAGAAAUCUGCCACAGUGCUUUGAAGAAUACAGGGACGUACGUGUUGUGCUAGACUGUACUGAGGUCACAGUUGAAAAAUCGCACUGUGCUUCGUGUAGAAUUCUAACGUAUUCGCAUUACAAGGAACGCACACAGCAAAGCUUCUUGUUGGUGUCUCGCCUGCUGGUUUAAUCACUUUUGUCAGCCGUGGUUUUGGAGGCAGAGCGUCAGACAGAGCCUGCGUUGAAAAAUCGGCAGUUCUAGCAAAACUCAACAGUUUUGAAGAUGACGUAAUGGUUGAUAAAGGUUUCAACAUAGACGUAUUAUGUGAAAACCUCGGGCUGGGGGUUGUGCAGCCUCCAUUUCUUCGUGGACAGCUGCAGUUCACCGCAAAAGACUCAGAAAAGACAUUAAAAAUAGCCAGGGCACGUGUGCACGUCGAGCGGGCAAUCCAAAGGAUGAAACUUUUUAAAGUUCUGAGGGAACCUGUGCCUUGGGAAAUGGUUGGUGCCCUUGAUGACAUAUUUAUUGUGAUUGGUGGAAUUGUAAAUCUCUCCACUCCUAUUCUCUCUGAGAAAAGGUUCUAGUGAAAUUAUGGACGAAUCUGUUGUGUCCGCAAGCGAAUUUUCUGCUGCUUCUAGCAGAAGUGACUCGGAGGAUAAUGUCAAAUC